UAGUGCGAUGAUGCUAUUCAUGCAUGCAUGCUAACAAAGCAUGCUGAAUAUAAUUGUGGCAACAACUUAUUUUUUGUCACCUGAAUUUGGUUUUUAGGACAAAAUUGAUCCAAAGAAUAAAAUAAUUUGUUUUUGAUAAGAAUAAAUAACACAAAAAGCAUGCUGAAGUUGACGUCACUUUGUCAUUUCGCGGCUUAAAAAGGAUGGAAAACAUGAUGAAGGCACUGAAGCACCUUGCCUAACUUGGUUCAAAUAUUAAAACCGCUUCGAUUUGACAAACUUUAUCAUUGCAAACAAAAUUUUGGUUAACGCAAUUCUGAGCCUGCCUAAUUUGCGAAAACCAGUUAAAUUUUAAUUAUUGUUUUUAUCUGGAUAGAAAGGCAGGUGUGAAAGAGGAGAGAGAUAUGGAGAUAUAGACAUAUUAUACAAGUUAAUUAAAUUCAACUAUUUACAACUUUUUACAUGCAAAUUUGCUACUUUUAAACUGAUACUUUGUUUCGCUUUUAAAGAGUUUUUAAUUACAUUUCCUUUCCUUUCGUGCAGUAUAUUUCAGCAAAAAAAAUUCAAUUCGACACAACCGGAACACCCUAGGAAUUGGAGGUUUGGACACUAAUUACCUUGGCGAAAAAAAUUAGCGCGGAGAAUUAACUUGAGAAAACAAAGUAAUAACAUGACAUAACAUAUAAAUCGAUUUUAUUGUUUUUAUUAUCUUGCUUCAAUGAUAAAAAAUGAAUAAUGAGAUGAUAUCUUGUAUGAAUUUGGUACUGCAGGCAUUAAAAAAUCCUGGCAUUGCUGUAACUACAACCAUUACCUGCGCAAAUAAAACAAAUAAUUCUGCCGAACAGAAUAAUCAACUGCCUAACUUUAAAAGAAGUGUUUACAAACGUUUUUGGCCAAACUAAUUAGAGACCAGGCGCCAAACUGCCUUAAGAUUCAAAAUGGCAGAAGACAGUGUCGAAUUAAAGUAUAUAAAGAGAUCUGAUCUGCUUCAAUUUUUGGGUAUUCCCAAAAAAACUAAGGUUACCUGGUAACUUUCAGUUCCCAUUUUGUAUGCACUUUAUUUUUUUUAAUUGCCCUCUCUAUGAGAAUAUAUUUAUCUUUAUAAAGUGGAAGUUAAUAUGGCGUAUUAACUGAUUAAGCGACUCGGAUUGAUAAGUUGUACAUAAUACCAUGUUAAUGAUUAAUAAAGCAGAGGACUAUGAAUUUAUUACUUAAAGUGUUUUUGAAUUGUCGCUUUAACUUUGCCAUUUAUUAUAGUAUUGACUUCCCCUGUCAUUGUUACAAGGUAAUUUAUAUUUUGUGUUGAUUACAAGUAUAUAGAUAGGUAGAUACGUACCAAAAAUAUUCGGGAAUAUUACACUUUCUUUUUAUUUUCUUUAUUAAAUUUUUUUUUAAGAUUCUAAUUAAAACGAACAAAGAUACAACCAGUAGCACCUAAACCGAAGCGGAAACCAAUGCCACAAACAGAUCGGAGACAGUUGCAGCAACCUUUACCAUCACCACUACCAAAACAAUCACCGAAGUUUCUGUCAGAUGUACAACAACCAAUAUUAAUAAAUAAUAAUUCAGGAACUGAUAAAGCAGACGCAACACCUAAACAAAGUAUUACCAAUGAAUAUCAGAUAGGAUUGGUAAGUAAAUAAUGGUGCUAUGAAAUAUAACUAACGAUUAUAUAUACUACAAAACAAGAUGAACAAGUAGGCAAAAUAACUGCAUGUAAAAGUAAAUGAUUUAGGAAGGAACAGGAAAACACUGAAAAUAUGAUAAAAAAUAUUAUAUAUAAUAUUUUUACAGGAGUUUUCAUCGGAUGGGUAUGAUAAGUUGUCAAUUUCAAUAGCUUAUAGAUGGUGAACUGUACCUUAUAUUGUGCAGUUGUAACUUAACCUAUGGGACAAACAAGGGGAUAGAGCUCUCACAAAGAAUCUCCUACGUAAUCAAAUCACAAGUAAACACGGCUUUUACUAAAAAAGCUUAUAUUUUUUUACUUACUUGGUUGGUUGGUAAAUGUAUAUUCUUAUUUUUCAGAUGAGGAACAUGGCUAUGAAUGCACUUCACAGUAUCAAAAAGAAUCUAUUUAUGACGAUCCUCAUUAUUUGCAGGGUUUUACUAAUUUAUGAGUUACCUCUUGUGUUCUAUGCUUUUGUAGGAUUUGUUAAAGUAAUAUAUUACACCUGGAAGGAUAGAGUAAAGCAGUUUUUGGCUCUUCAGGUUCAGGAUUCGGAAUAUCGAGAGUUUAACUUUCACGGUUAAUACUUACCACGAAUUUUUCUUUAGAAGGAGCACUGUUAGGAAAAAAGAAACCGACUGCUUUCAAGCCAGGUCAAGCUAAUCAGGAAGUUCUCCCAAGAGAUUUGAAGACACAAAAGGUGAAGGAAACUGUACCUCACGAUGAAGCUCUUUGGAACUAUUUUUGGUUCAAAUGCAUAUCUCAAACAGAAGCAGAAUAUUACUUGAAAGAACUGGGACAGCAAGGAGCAUUUCUCGUGAAACCAGAGACAGCUUCCGAUUUUCGUCUGUUUGUUUAUCACAGAAAACGCAUUGCAUAGCUUCGCAUAACAAAAGAAGAUAAAUACGACUACUUUAUCCUGGAAGGUCACCAUGGACAUACCAGAUCUCAUUUUGUUCUACCGAAAACAAGCCAUCAGAUUAACUCGCUCAAAUGUUUUACUGACGCUCACUGAAAGAAAAUAUCUUAAAGACAACCGUGCUUGCGUGUUGAAGAGAACUGCGUGUAAAUUAAAACUCCGGUGUGACGUCCAUAACAUGACAGCGGGAUUGUAUGGACGCAAUAAUUUGAUAUAAUUCGUUAAAAACUUCAUACUUUGUUAUGAGCGUUAUUAUUAUCCGUAUAGUCAAGAAAAUAUUAAAACUUCCGUUAGCAUUUUUCUUAGAGAACUGAACUCAACUUUAUUUCAAUAAUUCUGUAAAUAAUGGACGAUUUUAAGCGUAACCCAAAAAUCGGGAAAAUGUAAAAACCUAAAAGUAUGUUAAUCCUAUACGGUCCUAGGAAG